GACGAACGCUGGCGGCGUGCUUAACACAUGCAAGUCGAACGGAAAGGCCCUGCUUUUGUGGGGUGCUCGAGUGGCGAACGGGUGAGUAACACGUGAGUAACCUGCCCUUGACUUUGGGAUAACUUCAGGAAACUGGGGCUAAUACCGGAUAGGAGCUCCUGCUGCAUGGUGGGGGUUGGAAAGUUUCGGCGGUUGGGGAUGGACUCGCGGCUUAUCGGCUUGUUGGUGGGGUAGUGGCUUACCAAGGCUUUGACGGGUAGCCGGCCUGAGAGGGUGAACGGCCACAUUGGGACUGAGGUACGGCGCAGAAUCCUACGGGCGGCAGCAGUGGGGAAUAUUGCAGAAUGGGCGGAAGCCUGAUGCAGCAACGCCGCGUGCGGGAUGACGGCCUUCGGGUUGUAAACCGCUUUCGCAUGUGACGAAGCGUGAGUGACGGUAAUGGGUAAAGAAGCAACGGCUAACUACGUG
rnacentral:rRNA from 1 species